rnacentral:rRNA from 1 species
GGACGGGUGAGUAACACGUGGGUAACCUACCUAUAAGACUGGGAUAACUUCGGGAAACCGGAGCUAAUACCGGAUAACAUUUGGAACCGCAUGGUUCUAAAGUGAAAGAUGGUUUUGCUAUCACUUAUAGAUGGACCCGCGCCGUAUUAGCUAGUUGGUAAGGUAACGGCUUACCAAGGCGACGAUACGUAGCCGACCUGAGAGGGUGAUCGGCCACACUGGAACUGAGACACGGUCCAGACUCCUACGGGAGGCAGCAGUAGGGAAUCUUCCGCAAUGGGCGAAAGCCUGACGGAGCAACGCCGCGUGAGUGAUGAAGGGUUUCGGCUCGUAAAACUCUGUUAUUAGGGAAGAACAAACGUGUAAGUAACUGUGCACGUCUUGACGGUACCUAAUCAGAAAGCCACGGCUAACUACGUGCCAGCAGCCGCGGUAAUACGUAGGUGGCAAGCGUUAUCCGGAAUUAUUGGGCGUAAAGCGCGCGUAGGCGGUUUCUUAAGUCUGAUGUGAAAGCCCACGGCUCAACCGUGGAGGGUCAUUGGAAACUGGGAAACUUGAGUGCAGAAGAGGAAAGUGGAAUUCCAUGUGUAGCGGUGAAAUGCGCAGAGAUAUGGAGGAACACCAGUGGCGAAGGCGACUUUCUGGUCUGUAACUGACGCUGAUGUGCGAAAGCGUGGGGAUCAAACAGGAUUAGAUACCCUGGUAGUCCACGCCGUAAACGAUGAGUGCUAAGUGUUAGGGGGUUUCCG